UACGUAGGGACCAAGCGUUGUUCGGAUUUACUGGGCGUAAAGGGCGCGUAGGCGGCAAUUCAAGUCAUCUGUGAAAUCUCCGGGCUUAACUCGGAACGGUCAGGUGAUACUGCUUUGCUAGAGUGCGGAAGGGGCAAUCGGAAUUCUUGGUGUAGCGGUGAAAUGCGUAGAUAUCAAGAGGAACACCUGAGGUGAAGACGGGUUGCUGGGCCGACACUGACGCUGACAGCGCGAAAGCCAGGGGAGCAAACGGG
rnacentral:rRNA from 1 species